UACGGAGGGUGCAAGCGUUAUCCGGAUUCACUGGGUUUAAAGGGUGCGUAGGAGGGCAGGUAAGUCAGUGGUGAAAUCUCCAAGCUUAACUUGGAACUGCCGUUGAUACUAUCUGUCUUGAAUAUUGUGGAGGUGAGCGGAAUAUGUCAUGUAGCGGUGAAAUGACUUAGAUAUGACAUAGAACACCAAAUUGCGAAGGCAGCUCGCUACACAUAUAUUGACUCUGAGGCACGAAAGCGUGGGGAUCAAACAGG
rnacentral:rRNA from 1 species